rnacentral:rRNA from 1 species
GGUUAAGCGACUAAGCGUACACGGUGGAUGCCCUGGCAGUCAGAGGCGAUGAAGGACGUGCUAAUCUGCGAAAAGCGUCGGUAAGGUGAUAUGAACCGUUAUAACCGGCGAUGUCCGAAUGGGGAAACCCAGUGCAAUUCGUUGCACUAUCGUUAACUGAAUACAUAGGUUAACGAGGCGAACCGGGGGAACUGAAACAUCUAAGUACCCCGAGGAAAAGAAAUCAACCGAGAUUCCCCCAGUAGCGGCGAGCGAACGGGGAGCAGCCCAGAGUCUGAAUCAGCUUGUGUGUUAGUGGAACGGUCUGGAAAGUCCGACGGUACAGGGUGAUAGUCCCGUACACCAAAAUGCACAGGUUGUGAACUCGAAGAGUAGGGCGGGACACGUGGUAUCCUGUCUGAAUAUGGGGGGACCAUCCUCCAAGGCUAAAUACUCCUGACUGACCGAUAGUGAACCAGUACCGUGAGGGAAAGGCGAAAAGAACCCCGGCGAGGGGAGUGAAAAAGAACCUGAAACCGUGUACGUACAAGCAGUGGGAGCACCUUCGGGUGUGACUGCGUACCUUUUGUAUAAUGGGUCAGCGACUUAUAUUCUGUAGCAAGGUUAACCGUAUAGGGGAGCCGCAGGGAAACCGAGUCUUAACUGGGCGUUAAGUUGCAGGGUAUAGACCCGAAACCCGGUGAUCUAGCCAUGGGCAGGUUGAAGGUUGGGUAACACUAACUGGAGGACCGAACCGACUAAUGUUGAAAAAUUAGCGGAUGACUUGUGGCUGGGGGUGAAAGGCCAAUCAAACCGGGAGAUAGCUGGUUCUCCCCGAAAGCUAUUUAGGUAGCGCCUCGUGAAUUCAUCUUCGGGGGUAGAGCACUGUUUCGGCUAGGGGGUCAUCCCGACUUACCAACCCGAUGCAAACUACGAAUACCGAAGAAUGUUAUCACGGGAGACACACGGCGGGUGCUAACGUCCGUCGUGAAGAGGGAAACAACCCAGACCGCCAGCUAAGGUCCCAAAGUCAUGGUUAAGUGGGAAACGAUGUGGGAAGGCACAGACAGCCAGGAUGUUGGCUUAGAAGCAGCCAUCAUUUAAAGAAAGCGUAAUAGCUCACUGGUCGAGUCGGCCUGCGCGGAAGAUGUAACGGGGCUAAACCAUGCACCGAAGCUGCGGCAGCGACACUAUGUGUUGUUGGGUAGGGGAGCGUUCUGUAAGCCUGCGAAGGUGUGCUGUGAGGCAUGCUGGAGGUAUCAGAAGUGCGAAUGCUGACAUAAGUAACGAUAAAGCGGGUGAAAAGCCCGCUCGCCGGAAGACCAAGGGUUCCUGUCCAACGUUAAUCGGGGCAGGGUGAGUCGACCCCUAAGGCGAGGCCGAAAGGCGUAGUCGAUGGGAAACAGGUUAAUAUUCCUGUACUUGGUGUUACUGCGAAGGGGGGACGGAGAAGGCUAUGUUAGCCGGGCGACGGUUGUCCCGGUUUAAGCAUGUAGGCUGGUUAUCCAGGCAAAUCCGGAUAAUCAAGGCUGAGGUGUGAUGACGAGGCACUACGGUGCUGAAGUAACAAAUGCCCUGCUUCCAGGAAAAGCCUCUAAGCAUCAGGUAACAUCAAAUCGUACCCCAAACCGACACAGGUGGUCAGGUAGAGAAUACCAAGGCGCUUGAGAGAACUCGGGUGAAGGAACUAGGCAAAAUGGUGCCGUAACUUCGGGAGAAGGCACGCUGGUGUGUAGGUGAAGCCCCUGCGGGUGGAGCUGAGACCAGUCGAAGAUACCAGCUGGCUGCAACUGUUUAUUAAAAACACAGCACUGUGCAAACACGAAAGUGGACGUAUACGGUGUGACGCCUGCCCGGUGCCGGAAGGUUAAUUGAUGGGGUUAUCCGUAAGGAGAAGCUCUUGAUCGAAGCCCCGGUAAACGGCGGCCGUAACUAUAACGGUCCUAAGGUAGCGAAAUUCCUUGUCGGGUAAGUUCCGACCUGCACGAAUGGCGUAAUGAUGGCCAGGCUGUCUCCACCCGAGACUCAGUGAAAUUGAACUCGCUGUGAAGAUGCAGUGUACCCGCGGCAAGACGGAAAGACCCCGUGAACCUUUACUAUAGCUUGACACUGAACAUUGAGCCUUGAUGUGUAGGAUAGGUGGGAGGCUUUGAAGCGUGGACGCCAGUCUGCGUGGAGCCAACCUUGAAAUACCACCCUUUAAUGUUUGAUGUUCUAACGUUGGCCCCUUACCGGGGUUGCGGACAGUGUCUGGUGGGUAGUUUGACUGGGGCGGUCUCCUCCCAAAGCGUAACGGAGGAGCACGAAGGUUAGCUAAUCCUGGUCGGACAUCAGGAGGUUAGUGCAAUGGCAUAAGCUAGCUUGACUGCGAGCGUGACGGCGCGAGCAGGUGCGAAAGCAGGUCAUAGUGAUCCGGUGGUUCUGAAUGGAAGGGCCAUCGCUCAACGGAUAAAAGGUACUCCGGGGAUAACAGGCUGAUACCGCCCAAGAGUUCAUAUCGACGGCGGUGUUUGGCACCUCGAUGUCGGCUCAUCACAUCCUGGGGCUGAAGUAGGUCCCAAGGGUAUGGCUGUUCGCCAUUUAAAGUGGUACGCGAGCUGGGUUUAGAACGUCGUGAGACAGUUCGGUCCCUAUCUGCCGUGGGCGCUGGAGAAUUGAGGGGGGCUGCUCCUAGUACGAGAGGACCGGAGUGGACGCAUCACUGGUGUUCGGGUUGUCAUGCCAAUGGCACUGCCCGGUAGCUAAAUGCGGAAGAGAUAAGUGCUGAAAGCAUCUAAGCACGAAACUUGCCCCGAGAUGAGUUCUCCCUGAGACUUUAAGUCUCCUGAAGGAACGUUAAAGACGAUGACGUUGAUAGGCCGGGUGUGUAAGCGCAGCGAUGCGUUGAGCUAACCGGUACUAAUGAACCGUGAGGCUUAACCUU